rnacentral:rRNA from 1 species
UACGUAGGUGGCGAGCGUUGUCCGGAUUUACUGGGCGUAAAGGGAGCGUAGGCGGACUUUUAAGUGAGAUGUGAAAUACUCGGGCUCAACUUGAGUGCUGCAUUUCAAACUGGAAGUCUAGAGUUCAGGAGAGGAGAAUGGAAUUCCUAGUGUAGCGGUGAAAUGCGUAGAGAUUAGGAAGAACACCAGUGGCGAAGGCGAUUCUCUGGACUGUAACUGACGCUGAGGCUCGAAAGCGUGGGGAGCAAACAGG